rnacentral:rRNA from 1 species
GACGAACGCUGGCGGCGUGCCUAAUACAUGCAAGUAGGACGCAGUUGCGAACGGUUGAGUAACGCGUAGGUAACUACCUAUUAGAGGGGGAUAACUCUUGGAAACGAUAGCUAAUACCGCAUACUAGUAGAUGGACCUGCGUUGUAUUAGCUAGUAGGUAGGGUAAUGGCCUACCUAGGCAACGAUACAUAGCCGACCUUGGAGGGGUAUCGGCCACAAUGGGACUGAGACACGGGCCAGACUCCCUCCGGAAGCAGCAGUAGGGAAUCUUCGGGAAUGGGGGGAACCCUGAACGAGCAAAGGCGCGGGAGUGAAGAAGGUUUUCGGAUCGUAAAGCUCUGUUGUUAAGGAAGCGGUACUUAACCAGAAAGGGACGGCUAACUACGUGCCAGCAGCCGCGGUAAUUC